ensembl:lncRNA
CGCUGCCUGGCGAUGUCCCCGGCCGCCACCCCUCGAGCGAGGCUGUGCGUCUGGACUUGGGCCUCGCCCGCGACAGGAGCUGCUCGCGCGGUCCCGAACUCGGGGUCGCAGUUCAUGCGCUCCUGGGGAAAGGGUGGAAGGGCCCCUGUCGGGAUCCUGGUUCGCAGGCUGAAGAAUUCCUUCGCCGGGGAGCGCCUUUGGGGAGUGACGGAGGCAAGGCGUAGGGCCCUAGGUGGUGGCGGGAUGAGUCUGGAAUUAGGGCCCACACUGCCCCGAGUGCCCGCAGCGCCAGGGCGCAGUUGGAGGCCUGGGGACCCAAGGCGUUGGGCCUUUCAGGGAAACCUGGGGCGCCAUGAUUGGUGGGAACCUGCCUCCUGGUCCCGGACUCCACCCUAAUGAGCCAGGGCACGAAUUUGAACUUGGGGCCUUGUCCCUGGCUUGGAGCACCCCCCCCCCCGACCACGCAUUGCCCCUGGCACCCUGCUGGCCUGGGGCUGCCAAGGGGUCACGCGCUCAACCGCUAACUAACUGUGAGUCUUGAUUUCUGAGAGACCCACACGGGGCAGAAGCACAGGGGCUUGGUUAGACAGCAGACAGAGGGAACCGCACCGAGACCUGCUCACUUCCGGCACUGGGACUCUUAACUGCACGUCUUCAAAUCCUUGACCUCGAAGCUCUCCCACCUAGCGACGUCCGGGCCUCUGCAAGAGGGACUGGGGACAUUAAGUUUCUUGGGACACUUUCAUCCCUGUGACGUGGGCUCCAGGAGGAAGAGACUCAAUUAGAACUGAGCAAAGGGAAACCAGGCCGAGACAGGAAAGAUGCUAAAGACAGAAACAGGAGCAGAGGUUUAGGAAGAUGCUACGCAGGAGCUAAGCUGACCCCGGGUCCAGAGCAGACGGGGAAUCGCCCUAGUUGGGGAGGCGGGCGUGUGGCCGUCCAGGCCCGCGCAGGAGAGGACCGACAGAAUGGCAGAGCCCAGGGAUGGGCUGCAUCUUCCGUGGCGCAGAGCUCCUCCCCGCCCGUCGGCCAGGUCACCAGUCAGUCCAAGCUCACCCAGCUCUGGAUCCCUCCCUGCAGCCACGAGAAAAGCUCCUGUCAGCCCGCCCUGCGCGCUGGGGGGGGGGGGGGCUCCCGUUGGCCCGCGCCCUGGAUGCCAGGCCUCACCCCGCUCUGACCCCUCCAGCGAUAAAAAGCACCAGUGCUAUUUUCCCAACCUCAGAUCCUUGCCUUUCCCUUCCCCCACACCCCCCACCGAGCAAGGACUGGCCCGUGUUUG